rnacentral:lncRNA from 1 species
GGAGGGGCGGGGAAGGCGGGCGGUCGCUGUGGGGAGGCGUUGGGCCCUUGUUGUGUCGGGGCGCGGGGCCCGUCCCCCCCCUUCUCCGCCGGUUCGCGGCUGCACAAAGACGCACAGGGCCCGUGUGAGUAAGACCAGGAUGGAAGAGUCCAAUGGGGACCUUCCCAUCCAGAGAGACACCAUCCUAUCCAAGUUGUGCUGUGAUCACGUCGCCGUAACAAACCUGGUGGAAGUGCUGAGAUCUUUGGUGGCUUUAACUGACCCUCAGGAGGGAAAGCUGACUCAGUCUCAAGAGAAAGCACUGAACUUGGUGGGCAUUUGGAAAACUGUAUUUGCAGCUGUUCCUGGGCCUACGUCAAAGACCCC